CAAAUUUUACCAGCUACUCAAUAGAUUACCAUUGUUUUUUUGGGCUGGUGAGUGAAGCAAAUCUGCCAGCCACUUGCAUAUUUUACCAGCAUUUGGCUGGUAUGGUGCUAAUUCUGAACCCUGGGCGCAUUUUUUGUUAA